GCAAGAUUAAAACUCAAAGGAAUAGACGGGGACCCGCACAAGCGGUGGAGCAUGUGGUUUAAUUCGACGAUACGCGAAGAACCUUACCUGGCCUUGACAUAGAAAGAACUUACUAGAGAUAGUUUGGUGCUAGCUUGCUAGAACUUUCAUACAGGUGCUGCACGGCUGUCGUCAGCUCGUGUCGUGAGAUGUUGGGUUAAGUCCCGCAACGAGCGCAACCCUCGUGUUUAGUUACUAACAGUUCGGCUGAGGACUCUAGACAGACUGCCUGGGUAACCAGGAGGAAGGUGAGGACGACGUCAAGUCAUCAUGGCCCUUACGGCCAGGGCUACACACGUGCUACAAUGGGGUAUACAAAGAGCCGCAAUACCGUGAGGUGGAGCAAAUCUCAUAAAAUAUCUCCCAGUUCGGAUUGAAGUCUGCAACUCGACCUCAUGAAGUUGGAAUCGCUAGUAAUCGUGAAUCAGCAAUGUCACGGUGAAUACGUUCCCGGGUCUUGUACUCACCGCCC
rnacentral:rRNA from 1 species